rnacentral:sRNA from 1 species
UUCCUACCUUAGCUGGUAGCCUUGAGA